AUUGAACGCUGGCGGCAGGCCUAACACAUGCAAGUCGAGCGAGCGGCGGACGGGUGAGUAAUGUAUGGGGCUCUGCCCGAUAGAGAGGGAUAACUACUGGAAACGGUGGCUAAAACCGCAUACUAUCGGCUGAACCCAUAUGGGAUUAGCUAGUAGGUGGGGGAAAGGCUAACCUAGGCGACGAUCUAUAGCUGGUCGGAGAGGAUGAACAGCCACACUGGGACGGAGACACGGCCCAGACUCCUACGGGAGGCAGCAGUGGGGAAUAUUGCACAAUGGGCGCAAGCCUGAUGCAGCCAUGCCGCGUGUGUGAAGAAGGCCUUAGGGUUGUAAAGCACUUUCGGCGGGGAGGCGUUACCCGCAGAAGAAGCACAGGCUAACUCCGUGCCAGCAGCCGCGGUAAUUC
rnacentral:rRNA from 1 species